rnacentral:lncRNA from 10 species
AGAAGUGUAAAAACCCUAGUUUUAUUCCUGAUCUUAGAGGAAAGAGCUUUCAGCUUUCUACCAUAAAAUAUGAUGUUAGCUGUGAGCUUGUUGUAUAUGACUUUAAUUAUGUUGAGGUAUAUGACUCACAGUUCCACAUGGCUGGAGAGGCCUCUGGAAACUUAUAAUCGUGACAGAAGGCACCUCUUCACAGGACAGCAAAAGAGAGAAUGAGUGCAAAGCCGGGGAAAUGCCAAAUGCUUGUAAAACCAUCAGAUCUUGUGAGAACUCACUAUCACAAGAACAACAUGGGGGUAAGCACCCCCAUGAUUCAAUUACCAAUUACCUCUCACUGGGUCCCUCCCCUAACACGUGGGGAUUAUGUGAACUACAAUUCAAGAAAGAUCUCUAGGCAUUCAGAGUACCUGCUUGCUUGGUCAAGCAGCCUGAAUCACCCCACCCCUCCUGCGUAGAGAUCUUAGUGCUGGGAGACUCUGCUUCAUCCCCACGAAAAUCUCCAGGCACUAGAAGCACCACUUACCAGGAUCAGCAGCCUGAGCCAUCCCACCCUUCCUGUGCAGAAACUCUGAUGCAAUGGAGGACCUCUCCACUCCAGGCUCAGGCAGAUCACCAGGCAUUCAGAGCACCUGUUCACCUGGUUCAGCAGCCCUAGCCAUGCCCCCUUUUUGGACAUAGAUCUUGGUGCAGUGGGGCUUUCUCUGCUCAAUGCCCAGGCAGAUCUGUCAGCAUCUGGAGUACUUGUUCACCUGGAUCAGCAACCUGAGACACACCACCAUUCCUGGACAUAGAUCACGUGGCAGAGAGGACCUCUCUGGUCCACACCCAGACAGAUCUCCAGGCAUCUGGAGCAUCAGCUAACCUGGAUCAGCAGCCUGAGCCAACCCACCCCUCCUAUGCAGAGAUCUUAAUGCAAGGAGACCCUCUCUGCCCCAGGCUCAGGCAUAUCUCCAGACACCUGGAGUACCUAUUUCCCUAGAUUAGAAGUGUAGGCCAUCCCCUGAAUCUGGAGUGGGGAGGUUGCAAUGACCAGCAACUUAUUUAAAAAUGUGUUGUUUUUUUCUCCAAUAUUUGGAUUAUUUCCAUAUAUCUUUGUGUUAUUGAUUUCUGAUUUAAUUCCAUCAUGUUAAGAGAUUAUAAUUUGUAUGAUUGAAUACAUUCAGUCUUAAAAUUUAUGGUAUAUAUUGGUGCUUGUUUUAUGUACAAGAUAUGAUACAUUUCAGUAAAUGUUUCACAUGCACUUCAGAAAAAUGAGUAUUCUGCUGUUAUUGAGGAAAUUAUUCUAUAAAUAUCAGUUAGAUCAAACUUGUUGAGAUUGCACCACUAGACUUUGGUCUGGCAACAGAGCAAGGCUCCAUCUCAAAAAUAAAUAAAUAAAUAAAUAAAUAAAUAAAUAAAUAAAUAAAUAAAAAUAAAAAAUAAAAUAAAAUAGAAGUAUAGGCCAUCCCCAUCCCUGUGCAGAGAACUUGGAGCCAAGGAUGUUUCCCAGCGUUAUGCCUAGGCACACCUCUGGACAUUUGGUGGCUGCCCACCAGAUUCUCCCUCUGUGCUGGUGCCUGCCAUCAAGGGAAUUUUAGGCAGACCUGCCCAGUUCAGCUCCAUCUUUUUUGGGCCCUGACCCUCAUGGGCUGAACAGAGAGCAUUCUAGGAAUCAGCCCACUUCCUGAUGCAACAGAGAGCUUCUGACAUUAAACAAGAAUCAAGUAUAUACCCAGUCAGGUUGGCCACAACUGGCUCUGAUAUAUAAGUGCCAUCUAUGGGCUGGCAGUUAAAACUUCACAGCUCAAUAUGAAACCUGUGGAAAGAAGUGCAUAGGGCUAUAAAAGCAAAGCCAAAAAGACCCUACCGAGCAUUUGCUACAGUCACCACACCUGGGGCAGGGGAAGGAAAAGAGAAAGAAAAAAUAAUAAUAUUACAGGGAAAUAAAGAAAAUGAAAAAAAAUUCUACCUGCAUGAAAAUAAUUACAAAAAGUAAAAGUGCCAGUGUCUCCAGAUAAGAAGAAACCAGGACAAGAAUUCUGGCACCAUAAAAAAAUCUGAAUGUAGUGACAUCACUAAAGGAUUGCACUAGAUUUCCAGCAAUGGUCCCUAACCAAAACAGAAUCUCAAAAAUGACAGAUAAAUAGUUCAAAGCAUGGAUUUCAAGGAAGCACAAUAAGAUCAAAGACAAAGUUGAAAAUCAACACAAAUAAUCUUCUAAGCUAAUCCAGAAAAUGAAGAAAGAGAUAAACAUCUUAAAGACAAAUCAAUCAGAGCUUCUGGAAUUGAAAAUCUCACCUAAGGAAUUUCAAAACACAACUGAAAGCUUCAUUGAUAAACUGGUCCAAGCAAAAGAAAGAAUUUUAGGGAUUGAAGACAGGUAUUUUGAACUAACCCAGUCAAAAAAUAAAGAAAAAAAAUUUAAAAAAUCAACAAAGUCUUCAAGAACUAGGGGAUUAUGUAAAGUGACCAAACCUUGGCAUUCCUGAGAAAGGAGGGGAAAAGUAAACAACCUGGAAUAUAUAUUUGAGGGAAUAAUUUAAGAAAACUUUUCUGAUCUUGCUAGAAAAGUAGACAUAUACAGUAGCAUAUGUUAGUAUAUGCUAGGAAAGUAGACAGAUACAAGAAAUCUAGAGAACACCUGCAAGAUACUAUACAAAAUAAACAUCAUCAGACUGCCCAAAGCCAAAACUAAAGAAAUAAUCUUAAAGACAGCUAGAAAGAAAUGGCAGAUCAUGCACAAAGGGAACUCCAUCAGGCUAACGUGGAUUUCUCAGCAGAAACCUUACAAGCCAGGAGAGAGUAGAGGCCUAUUUUCAGCAUUCUUAAGGGAAAGAAAUUCCAGCCAAGAUUUUCAUGUACCAUCAAAUGAAGCUUCAUAAGCAAAGGAGAAAUAAAAUAUUUUUCAGAUAGGCAAGCGUUAAGGGAAUUUAUUACUACUAGACCAGCCUUACAAGAGGUUUUUAAGGACAUUCUAAACAUGUAAAUGAAAGAAUGAUACCUGCUAUCACAACAACACACUUAAGUAUAUAGUCCAACAGAUCCUAUAAACCUUAUAUAUAAAGCAACCACAUAACAGAAACUACAAAGCAUUCAGCUAACAACUACACAAUAGGAUCAAAAACUCAUUUCAAUAUUAACCUUCAGUGUAAAUGGUCUAAAUGUUCAACUUAAAAGGCAUAGAGGAAUAAGCUGGAUAAGAAAACAAGACCCAUCUGUGUGCUGUCUUCAAGAGACCUAUCUCAUAUGUGACAACACCCAUAGGCUCAAAGUAAAGAAUUGGAGAAGGAUUUACCAUGCAAAUUGAAAGCAAAAAAGAGAUGGGUCACUAUUCUUAUGUCAGUAAAACAGACUUUAUACCAACUACAGUAAAAAAGGACUAAGAAGGAUUUACAAAACGAUAAAUGGUUCAAUUCAACAAAACGAUAUAACUAUUAUAAACAUAAUGCACCCAACAUUGGAGAAGACAAAGUUAAGUACUUUGUUAUAAGACAAGUACUUGUUCAUAAGGCAAGUACUUCUAGACCUAAAAUGCCACACAAUAAUACUGGAGGACUUCAAUACACCACUGAGAGCACACUGAGAGCAUUAGAUAGAUCAUCAAGGCAGAAAACUAACAAAGAAAUUCUGGACUUAAACUUGACACUUGAACAACUGGACCUAAUAGACAUCUACAGAAUAGUCCACCCAGCAACCACAGAAUACAUUCUUCUCAUUGGUGCAUGAAACACAUUCUAAAAUCAACUAUAUUCUGAGGCAUAAAUGGAAUCUCAAUAAAUUCAAAACAGUUGAAAUCAUAUCAAGCACACAGUUAGACCACAGUGCAAUAAAAAUAAACAUCAAUACCAAGAAGACCUUUCAAAAUUACACAAGAACAUAGAAAUUAAACAUCUUGCUCCAGACUAGCUCUUGGAUGAACAAUACAAUUAAGGCAGAAAUCAAAAAUUUAUUUGAAGUUAAUAAAAAUAGAGACAAACUUACCAAACUCUUUGAGAUAUACAUAAAGCAGUGUUAAGAGGGAAGUUUGUAGCACUAAACACUUUAAUCAAGAAAACAGAAAGAUCUCAAAUUAACUAUCUAACAUGGUAGCCAGAGGAACUAGGAAAAAAAGAACAAACUAACCCCAAAGCUAGCAGAAGAAAAGAAAUAACUAAAAUCGAGUGGAACUGAACAAAAUUGAGACCCCAAAAUACAUACAAAGAACCAAUGAAACCAAAUGUUGCUUAUUUGGAAGAAUCAACUAGAUUGAUAGACUGGUUGCUAGAUUAACAAAGAAAAAAAGAGAAAAGAUGCAAAUAAGCACAGUCAGAUACAUAGAGGUGAACAUAGAUAUACAUACAGUCAGAACAUAGAGGUUAUGUUAAAAUUGAUCCCACAGAAAUACAAAAGAUCUGCAGAGACCAUUAUGAACAGUUAUACUUACAAAUUAGAAAAUCUAAAGGAAAUGAGUAAAUCCCUGGAAACACACAAUUUCCCAUGAUUCAAUCAGGAAGAUAUUGAAACACUGAACAUACCAAUAUCAAGUUCCAAAAUUGAACCAUUAAUAAAAAGACCUACCAACCAAAAAAAGCCCUGGACCAGAUGGAUUCAUAGCCAAAUUCUACCAGAUGUACAAAGAAGAGCUGGUACUAACACUACUGAAACUAUUUCAAAAAAAAACAAAAAUCAAGAAGGAGGGACUCCUCUCUGACUCAGUCUAUGAAGCCAGCAUUACCCUGACACCAAAAGCUGACAAAGAUGCAACAAAAAAGGAAAUUACAGGCCAAGAUCCCUGAUGAACAUAGAUGUGAAAAUCCUCAACAGAAUACUAGCAAAUCAAAAUCAACAGCACAUCAAAAACUUAAUUCACUAUGAUCAAGUAGGCUUUAUUCUUGGGAUGAAAGCCUGGUUCAACACACAUGAAACAAUAAAUGUGAUUUACCACAUAAACAGAAUUAUAAACAAAACUACAUGAUUAUCUCAAAAGAUGCAGAUAAAGCUUUUGAUUAAAUCCAACAUAUUUUCAUAAUAAAAUCCUCAAGAAACUAAGCAUCAAAGGAACAUCAAAAGAGCCAUCUAUGAGAAACCCAAAGCCAACAUCAUACUGAACAGGUAAAAUCUGGAAGCAUUCCCCUGGAGAACCAGAACAAGACAAGGAUGCCAACUCUCAUGACUCCUAUUCAACAUAGUACUGAAUGUGCUAGCCAGAGAAAUCAAGCAAGAGAAAGAAAUAAAAGGCAUCCAAAUAGGAAGAGAAGAGGUCAAACUAUUUCUCUUCAUAGACAAUAUGAUUUUAUACCUAGAAAAAAACCCUAAGGGUUCCACCAAAACGCUCCUGCAACUUCAGUAAACUUUCAGAAUACAAAAUCAAUGUACAAAAACUAGUAGCAUUUCUAUGCACAAUAAUAUUCAAGCAGAGAGCCAAAACAAGACUAUAAUCCCAUUUACAGUAGCCAUACAAAAACAUAAAAUACCUAGGAAAACAUCAACCAAGGAGGUAAAAGAUCUCUACAAGGAGAACUACAAAAUACUGCAAAAAAAAAAAAAAAAAGGUGACAAAAAAAUGGAGAAAAGUCCAUAGUUACUGAUCGCAAGAAUCAAUAUCAUUACAAUGGCCAUACUCCCCAAAGCCAUCUUGUAGAUUCAAUGUUAUUACUAUCAAAGUACCAACAUUAUUUUUCAAAGAAUUGGAGAAAAACUAUUCUAAAAUUCAUAUGUAACCACAAAAGCGCUCAAAUAACCAAAGCAAUUCUAAGCAAAAAGAAUAAAGCCAGAGGCAUCACAUUACCUGACUUCAAACUAUUCUAUGAGGCUACAGUAACUAAACAGUAUGGUACAGAUACAAAACCAGAAACAUAGACCAAUGGAAUAAAAUAGACAACCCAGAAAUAAAGCUUCACACUUACAUUUAUCUGAUCUUUGAAAAAGUUGGCAAAGAUAACUGAUGGAUAGAGGACUCCCUGUUCAAUAAAUGGUGCUGGGAUAGCUGGCUAGCCACAUGCAGAAGAAUAAAACUGGACCCCUACCUUUUAUCAUCUCCAAAAAUUAACUCAAGAUGGAUUAAAGGUUCAAAUGUAAGAACUCAAACUACAAGAAUCCUAGAAGAAAACCUAGGAAGCACCAUCCUGGAAUUGGCCUUGGCAAAGCAUUUAUGAUGAAGUCCUCAAAAGCAAUUGCAAUAAAAACAAAAACGGACAAGUGGGGCCUAAUUAAACUAAGGGGCUCCUACACACCAAAUAGACUAUCAACAGAAUAAACAGACAACCCACAGAAUGGGAGAAAAUAUUUGCAAACUAUGCAUCCAACCAAGGUUGAAUAUCCAGAAUCCAUAUGGCACUUAAACAGACAUUUAAGGAAGACAUACAAGUGGCCAAUAAACAUAUGAAAAAAAUGCUCCACAUCUCUAAUUAUUAGAGAAAUGCAAAUCAAAACCAUGAGAUGCCAUCUCAUACCAGUCAGAAUGGCUAUAAUUUAAAAAAUAAAAUAAAAUAAACCCCAGCAGAUUUUGGUGAGGCUGUGGAGAAAAAGGAACACUUAUACACUGUCAGUGGGAGUGCAAAUUACUUUAGUUGUGGUAGAAAGUAGUUUGGAGAUUUCUCAAAGGACUUGAAACAGAGCUACCAUUCAACCUAGCAAUCCCAUUAGUAGGUAUAUAUCCAAAAGAAAUCAAAUUAUUCUACAAAAAGACAAAUGCACUCGUGUGUUCAUCACAGCACUAAUCACAAUGGCAAAGACAUGGAAUCAACCUAGGUGCCCAUGAAUGGUGGAUUGGAUAAAGAAAAUGUGACAUAUAUACACCAUGGAAUACUACACAGUCAUAAAAAGGAACAAAAUUGGCCAUGCGUGGUGGCUCACGCCUGUAAUCCCAGCACUUUGGGAGCCAGAGGUGGGCAGAUCACCUGGGGUCAGGAGUUCAAGACCAGCCUGGCCAACAUGGUGAAACCCUGUCUCUACAAAAAUACAAAAAUUAGCCAGGUGUGGUUGUGCAUGCCUGUAAUCCCAGCUACUCAGGAGGCUGAGGCAAGAGAAUUGCUUGAACUCGGGAGGCAGAGGUUGGAGUGAGCCAAGAUCGUGCCACUGCACUUCAGCCUGGACAAGUAGGGUGAAACUCCAUCUCAAAAAAAAAAGAAAAAGAAAAAGAAAAAAAGAACAAAAUCAUCAUGUCUUUUACAGUAACAUGGAUGCAGCUGAAGGCCAUUAUUCUAAGCAAAUUAAUGGAAGAACAGAAAACCAAAUAUGAGUGAUCUUGCUUAUAAGUGGGAGCUAAACGUUGGGUAUUCAUAGACAUAAAGAAGGCAACAGUAGACACUGGGGACUGCUAGAGAGGGGAGGGAGGGAGCGGGGAAAGCGUUAACAAACUAACUGUUGAGCACUAUGCUCAGUACCUGCUUGAUGAGAUCAUUCAUACCCCAAACUUCAGCCUCAUAUGAAAUACCCAAUUAAUAAACCUGCACAUGUACCCCCUA